rnacentral:misc_RNA from 1 species
AGCAUUUCAUGGAUAUGAUUCAUGGCAUAGCAUAACUUUGCAACUAGAAAACAUCCUUAAAUCUGACUUUUGUCUUCUUCUUUUAAUAUCAGUAAUACCCUUCAUGAUUUUAAAUGACAAUAUAUUAUCCUAUAAGGCCCUGAAGAAUUUUUUUAAUAAAAUCUUUCUGCUGCCUCUUCAGUUUGAGCCUUGAGGCUUUUUCCUUCUUUUAACUGUCUUCUGUGAUUUUGCAUUUUUAUAUAAAUUCAAAAGAUAGCAAGUAUGUUCAUUGAUGAUUGCGGAGGAUAGAGUUACAAUGUGGUCAUGGGUAUAUGAUUUCAAUGAUUUGAAAGAAGAUGAAAUAGAAAAUUCUGCCUUUUUCUGAUCUUUCAUACGCGCGCGCGCACGCACACACACACACAAAAACACACACAGAGAUG